rnacentral:rRNA from 1 species
UGGGGAAUUUUGGACAAAGGGGGAAACCCUGAUCCAGCCAUCCCGCGUGUGCGAUGAAGGCCUUCGGGUUGUAAAGCACUUUUGGCAGGAAAGAAACGUCAUGGGUUAAUACCCCGUGAAACUGACGGUACCUGCAGAAUAAGCACCGGCUAACUACGUGCCAGCAGCCGCGGUAAUACGUAGGGUGCAAGCGUUAAUCGGAAUUACUGGGCGUAAAGCGUGCGCAGGCGGUUCGGAAAGAAAGAUGUGAAAUCCCAGAGCUCAACUUUGGAACUGCAUUUUUAGCUACCGGGCUAGAGUGUGUCAGAGGGAGGUGGCAUUCCGCGUGUAGCAGUGAAAUGCGUAGAUAUGCGGAGGAACACCGAUGGCGAAGGCAGCCUCCUGGGAUAACACUGACGCUCAUGCACGAAAGCGUGGGGAGCAAACAGG